AGUGAACGCUGGCGGUAGGCCUAACACAUGCAAGUCGAACGGCAGCACAGUAAGAGCUUGCUCUUACGGGUGGCGAGUGGCGGACGGGUGAGGAAUACAUCGGAAUCUACUUUUUCGUGGGGGAUAACGUAGGGAAACUUACGCUAAUACCGCAUACGACCUACGGGUGAAAGCAGGGGAUCUUCGGACCUUGCGCGAUUGAAUGAGCCGAUGUCGGAUUAGCUAGUUGGCGGGGUAAGGGCCCACCAAGGCGACGAUCCGUAGCUGGUCUGAGAGGAUGAUCAGCCACACUGGAACUGAGACACGGUCCAGACUCCUACGGGAGGCAGCAGUGGGGAAUAUUGGACAAUGGGCGCAAGCCUGAUCCAGCCAUACCGCGUGGGUGAAGAAGGCCUUCGGGUUGUAAAGCCCUUUUGUUGGGAAAGAAAAGCAGCAGGUUAAUACCCCGCUGUUCUGACGGUACCCAAAGAAUAAGCACCGGCUAACUUCGG
rnacentral:rRNA from 1 species